GCCUGAGUGGCUCAGUCGCUUGAGCGUCUGACUUCAACUCAGGUCACGAUCUCGCGGUUUGUGAGUCCAAGCCCCGCGUCGGGCU
rnacentral:tRNA from 1 species